AUGUAUAUACUUGUGCAGUAUGUUCAUGUGGGACCUGUCCUAUCGGUUUGUAAAGAAGCGGAUACAGUUUGGUCAUUGUUUGGUCUUGUAGGGAGCGAGAACGGCGGGAAAAAGAGCGAGAUGAAUGGGAGAGACAAUAUGAACGUCAGAGUCACUCGCCCUCCCCCAAUGCCAAAUACGGUCGGGACUACAGCUCAUCCAGAAGGAGAUCACGCUCAAGAUCACGGAGUCCUCAUUACCGGUACUGAAGAAUCGGCUGAUAAAACAGUCAAGCCCAUAAGACGGCAAACAGAAUGGUGACCAUGAUGGCAAGAGUUUACUCAGAAGUUUGGGGAAAAUAUCAAUAAAAUGAAUUUCACUCACUUCAGCUUCUCUUUUACAUCUUCUAAACUGGAUCCAGUGGAAACCAAUCAUUUCUAAAAUGUGAAAAGUAACACCAUCGUGCUCUGAAAACACAUUUCACCUCCCAUUCAUGAUAUUAGGGUUGAUACACAGGGUUGCCAGGAAUUAUUUGAGCUGCUAGGAUUCUUCUAAUAAGCUUUACAGAUUAUUUGGAGUCGAACUGUGUUGAAUUGUGUGACAUAAGUGGGAUGAACCUUAUGCUCUUCCUUGUGUCUUAUACCCCAAUUAAAGAGAGAGUUGACCUAAAAAAAUAGCUAAUUCUGUCAUUUACUCACCCUUGCCUUGAUCCAAACACAUACAACUGACUUUCAGGAAAUGCGUCAUUCUGCCUAAUGUCUGUCUUUUGUGUUCUAUGGAAGAAAAACAAGAUGAGUGAAGGUGAUUAAAAUAAUUGUUUUUUUGGAGGGGGGGGGGUGCAUCUGCCCAUUUUACCUCAUCAUUGUAUAUACAGUAGUCCCUUCAUGUAAGAGUGAUGAAAUUUCUUUCACAGAAAAUACGUUUUCUUUUUCACUCGACAAUGUAAAUGUCUGGUGGUUCUUUCUUGUAUUAGGAUCACAGGUUUUGACAUUGAAAUAAAAAGCUAAUCAUGAAUGAAAAAAAAUUACUUUGGCUUGAGUGUUUUACUCGAUUACAUAGAAAACAAAAACGCAUUUAUUAUUUUAUGUUAUAUAUAAAUUUAUUUUGGCGUAACAACCGCCAGAUGGCGCGCUUCACUAUUAGAAACACGUGUGAUUCGACAAAAAUUGCUGUUAUUUUGAAUUGGGAAUUUGACCACCUUAUAUACACGACGACAAACUUCAGCAGUCACCGCGUGCUUGUAUUUACCCCCGCCAUGCACAGAAGAGAAGCAAGUGUCUGAAAGUACAGCGACAGUUACUUUGGGUUUCGAAACAAGCCGGACAGCAAACAAACACCUGUCUCAGUCGACCUCGAUAAAGCCACUUCCUCUUCACCCACAUCCUUCACCAGCACAGUUUAUUGGUGUCAGAGCAGCUGCUGCGCGCCAUCAAAGCGACUAUUUACAUAAUUCCUCCAAUACGACAGAUAGAUAAGGAAUAUAAAGAGUUUGGAUCAUUUUAAGUGGCCCUGAUGCUGUUGCCUAAGCAGAGUUGUUAAACGAGGUCAAUUAUGAUAUGAGAGAGGGCAGAUGAGGAUGAGGAGGAUGAUGAUGGGCGGGCUGGAGGCGUUGCUCAUGCCCUCCUCCUCCUCCUCCUCCUGUAGGGCCAGCAGACAGUGUGAACUUGAACACUGACGGCCACAGCACUGAACGACAGUCAAGUCACACAUCACUGCCGUUUUAUGAGAUUUAUAGUGUGCGCUUAGUUCUGGUGUAGUU
rnacentral:lncRNA from 1 species